rnacentral:rRNA from 1 species
AGCUCCAAUAGCGUAUAUUAAAGUUGUUGCGGUUAAAAAGCUCGUAGUUGGAUUUCUGCCGAGGACGACUGGUCCGCCCUCUGGGUGAGUAUCUAGUUCGGCCUGGGCAUCUUCUUGGAGAACGUAGCUGCACUUGACUGUGUGGUGCGGUAUCCAGGACUUUUACCUUGAGGAAAUUAGAGUGUUUCAAGCAGGCACACGCCUUGAAUAUAUUAGCAUGGAAUAAUGAUAUAGGACCUUGGUACUAUUUUGUUGGUUUGCGCACUAAGGUAAUGAUUAAGAGGGACAGUUGGGGGUAUUUGUAUUCCAUUGUCAGAGAUGAAAUUCUUGGAUUUUUGGAAGACAAACUACUGCGAAAGCAUUUGCCAAGAAUGUUU